rnacentral:sRNA from 1 species
UAAUAUUUUUUAGUGUUUCUAUGGUCAAAAUGUGUCACAAUCUAAUGCAUUUGACUAAUUAUAAGAGUUAGAGAUGGAUUAAGAGUGAUUUAGCCAACGCUUAUACCCAUUUUCUCACAAAAGAGGAUAAAACCAACAAAACAUUGCUUAGAAGCAGGAAACUGUUUUGUUAGUGAUUUUAUGGU